AGGCUGGAUUCGGCCCAAGUCCGGGCCCAAUAAGCGGGCCGAAGCCUGGACCCGAAAGCCCAAACCCGAAACCCCUCUCCCACCCGCCCUUCUUCCUCUUUUCCUGUCACGAACCCUAAUUUCUCCCCUGCUGAAGUCCUUCCAAUUCGACCUUCGAAUGUCUUCGACGAAAUCUUCGAAGCUAGCUUGCGGUUCUUCCUCUUUUCCUUCCCAGAAGCUAGCUUGUCCAAGCUUCGAUUGCGGUUGCGGACGAAAUCUUCGAUAGUUCCAUUCCAGCUUGGUGAUCUUCCUGGUGCUCUCGAGGUGCUUCUGGUGGGCCGCUUCUGCAGCCCGUCUGUUGUACUCCAGCUCCUCAUUCCGGAUAGAGACCUCCUUCUCCAGCACACAGAACUCAUAUUUAAGGAACGCAUUCUCCUUUUCGAUCGAGUCCAGCCUUCCCAUCAGGGCAUUAAACUCGGACUCUGCAUCAGACUUAGAUUUCUCGUUGAGGCUCUUGUUCGACCUGUGAUUUUUAUAUGUUGAUGAUCUGGAAAAUGUAAACCUCCUUUAUCUGAUCAUGAUUCUAUGAACAAAGUCAUUUGCUGUUAUAUGUGCUAGUAUGGCUCCAUUUGUAUGCUCUGUCUAGAAUUUUCCAUUUACUUAUUUAAUUCUCUUUCUAAACCAAAA